GCCUCGGUAGCUUAAUAGGUUAAAGCACAGCCAUGGUAAGGCUGAGAGUGUGAGUUCGAUUCUCAUCCGAGGCU
rnacentral:tRNA from 1 species